rnacentral:rRNA from 1 species
UAACGCGUGAGUAACCUGCCUUCAAGAGGGGAUAACAUUCUGAAAAGAAUGCUAAUACCGCAUGACAUAUCGGAACCACAUGGUUUUGAUAUCAAAGAUUUUAUCGCUUGAAGAUGGACUCGCGUCCGAUUAGUUAGUUGGUGAGGUAACGGCUCACCAAGACCGCGAUCGGUAGCCGGACUGAGAGGUUGAACGGCCACAUUGGGACUGAGACACGGCCCAGACUCCUACGGGAGGCAGCAUG